UACGAGGGGUCCUAGCGUUGUUCGGAAUCAUUGGGCGUAAAGAGCUCGUAGGCGGCUUUGUAAGUCGGGGGUGAAAGCCUGUGGCUCAACCACAGAAUUGCCUUCGAUACUGCAUGGCUUGAGACCGGAAGAGGUUAGUGGAACUGCGAGUGUAGAGGUGAAAUUCGUAGAUAUUCGCAAGAACACCAGUGGCGAAGGCGGCUUACUGGUCCGGUUCUGACGCUGAGGCGCGAAAGCGUGGGGAGCAAACAGG
rnacentral:rRNA from 1 species